rnacentral:lncRNA from 1 species
AUCCAAGUACAAAUUCAUUCUAAAAUCUUUAGGGACAACAUGAGAUGAAAAAAGCUGGGCUUAGAAAAUGAUUCAGUGGGAAAAUUGUUUAUCUUUCAAGCUUGACGAUCUAAGACUGAACCCCAAGAACCAACAGAAAUACAUGUCUUGGCAAAAAACUUACUGCAUAUGUACACAUUGGUUGUUUACCCAACCUUAUGCGUGGUGACCAGCGGUAGCCAGCACCACCUUGGCAUAUGUGGCUUCCCACACAGAGCUACAGAAUUUCCUCCAUCUAUGUUGGCAUGUUUAUUGGUGUUGUCAUGCAGGUAUUGUUUUUGCUACCAUGCUGAAAACACAAAGCAAUGGAUUCCUUCAAAACUGAUAAAAGUCAGAUUUGAUAGAAGGAGAAUUCCAGAAGAUCUUGGCUGUAAAGAAGAAGAAAGAAAUCAGAAAGAUCAAUAAAGCAGAUAAAUUGUAUCACUGACCCCACACAUGGGAACAACUCAGAUGUUCCACAACAGAAGAAUGGAUACAGAAAAUGUGGUUCCUUACACAACGGAAUACUGCUCAGCUAUUAAGAACAAGUACAUCCUGGAUUUUGCAGGCAAAUGGAUGGAAGUAACUCAGACCCAAAAGAACACAUAUGAUUAUCCUCCAAUGUUUUAAAUCUGUAAAAUAACUGCUGAGGUGCAGUGUGCUAGUUAGAAGCUCUGUUAUUGUCCUCGAUUAUCAUAUUUUAUUAGGAUCUUAUCUUCUACUUGAUUGCUCAGGCAGCAAGGAAUAAUGGACCUUUGGUAUUCCCACUUUGGAGUUAUACACUAUCAACUCUUGACAGUGUUAAAUAUGGGAAAGAAAAGAAUACAGAAUGGAACUAGUGAGUGUUUGGAAUGUAAACUCAUCUGAUCAAACAUUUGUUGAGUUCCAACAGAGUCUGGCACGAGGGAGAAAAGAGUCAUGGGGCUCUGGUGCUCUCUCCUGCUGGGAAACACCUGUGACUGGGACCACUGGCCUGUUUGCCUUAACUGGAAUUUUACAAAGAAGUUUAAGAAUGCCUUUGACUUUUUC